rnacentral:rRNA from 1 species
CCUUAUCUUAGCGGCGGACGGGUGAGCUAAUGCUUAGGAAUCUGCCUAUUAGUGGGGGACAACAUUCCGAAAGGGAUGCUAAUACGGCAUACGUCCUACGGGAGAAAGCAGGGGAUCUUCGGACCUUGCGCUAAUAGAUGAGCCUAAGUCGGAUUAGCUAGUUGGUGGGGUAAAGGCCUACCAAGGCGACGAUCUGUAGCGGGUCUGAGAGGAUGAUCCGCCACACUGGGACUGAGACACGGCCCAGACUCCUACGGGAGGCAGCAGUGGGGAAUAUUGGACAAUGGGGGGAACCCUGAUCCAGCCAUGCCGCGUGUGUGAAGAAGGCCUUAUGGUUGUAAAGCACUUUAAGCGAGGAGGAGGCUACUGAGACUAAUACUCUUGGAUAGUGGACGUUACUCGCAGAAUAAGCACCGGCUAACUCUGUGCCAGCAGCCGCGGUAAUACAGAGGGUGCGAGCGUUAAUCGGAUUUACUGGGCGUAAAGCGUGCGUAGGCGGCUUUUUAAGUCGGAUGUGAAAUCUCCGAGCUUAACUUGGGAAUUGCAUUCGAUACUGGGAAGCUAGAGUAUGGGGAGAGGAUGGUAGAAUUCCAGGUGUA